rnacentral:tRNA from 1 species
AUUUAUAUAGUUUAUUUAAAACAUUACAUUUUCAUUGUAAAUAAAAAAAAAAUCUUUUUUUUUAUAAAUA